UACGUAGGGCGCAAGCGUUGUCCGGAAUUAUUGGGCGUAAAGAGCUCGUAGGCGGUUUGUCGCGUCUGUCGUGAAAGCUUGGGGCUUAACCCCAAGUCUGCAGUGGGUACGGGCAGACUAGAGUGCGGUAGGGGAGACUGGAAUUCCUGGUGUAGCGGUGAAAUGCGCAGAUAUCAGGAGGAACACCGGUGGCGAAGGCGGGUCUCUGGGCCGUAACUGACGCUGAGGAGCGAAAGCGUGGGGAGCGAACAGG
rnacentral:rRNA from 1 species